rnacentral:lncRNA from 1 species
CCCUGGCUCUCUAUUUUAUUUUCUCUCUCCUAUGAAUAGAUCUAAAAAUGGAGAAAAUGAGAAAGGAGGGAGGGAAGGUGAAGAAGCCUUCAGCACUGUUCACGACUGAAGGUAACUUCAAUAGUGCUAAAGGUGCCUUCAUGUACCAUGAAGGCCCCUUCAGCACUGUUCAUGAAGGCACCUUCUGCACGGUUCAUGAAGGAGAG